AACGAACGCUGGCGGCAUGCCUAACACAUGCAAGUCGAACGAGACCUUCGGGUCUAGUUGCGCACGUGUGCGUAACGCGUGGGAACCUGCCCUUAGGUUCGGAAUAACUCCCCGAAAGGUGUGCUAAUACCGGAUAAUGUCUUCGGACCAAAGAUUUAUCGCCUUUUGAUGGGCCCGCGUUGGAUUAGCUAGUUGGUAGGGUAAAAGCCUACCAAGGAGACGAUCCAUAGCUGGUCUGAGAGGAUGAUCAGCCACACUGGGACUGAGACACGGACCAGAAUCGGACGGAAGGCAGGAGUGGGGAAUAUUGGACAAUGGGCGAAAGCCUGAUCAAGCAAUGCCGGGUGAGAGAUGAAGGCCUUAGGGUUGUAAAGCUCUUUUACACGGGAUGAGAAUGACAGUACCGGGAGAAUAAGCUCCGGCUAACUCCGUG
rnacentral:rRNA from 1 species